rfam:Triticum aestivum genome assembly, contig: Triticum_aestivum_CS42_TGACv1_scaffold_491153_6AS
UUUCUACUCCCUCCGUCCAAAAAUACUUGUCAUCAAAAUGGAUAAAAAGAGAUGUAUCUAAAACUAAAAUACGUCUAGAUACAUUUCCUUUUAUCCAUUUUGAUGACAAGUAUUUCCGAACGGAGGGAGUAUUUG